rnacentral:rRNA from 1 species
UACGUCCUACGGGAGAAAGCCAGGGGGAUCUUCGGACCUUGCGCUAAUAGAUGAGCCUAGGCCAGAUUAGCUAGUUGGUAGGGUAAAGGCCUACCAAGGCGACGAUCUGUAGCUGGUCUGAGAGGAUGGCCAGGCCACACUGGGACUGAGACACGGUUCCAGGACUCCUUACGGGAGGCAGCAGUGGGGAAUAUUGGACAAUGGGGGNAACCCCUGAUCCAGCCAUGCCGCGUGUGUGAAGAAGGCCUUCGGGUUGUAAAGCACUUUAAGCCGAGGAGGAAGGUUUACUACGUUAAUACCUAGUAGAAUUGACGUUACUCGCAGAAUAAGCACCGGCUAACUCUGUG